UACGUAGGGACCAAGCGUUGCUCGGAUUUACUGGGCGUAAAGGGCGCGUAGGCGGCGUGACAAGUCACUUGUGAAAUCUCCGGGCUUAACUCGGAACGGUCAAGUGAUACUGUCGUGCUAGAGUACAGAAGGGGCAACUGGAAUUCUCGGUGUAGCGGUGAAAUGCGUAGAUAUCGAGAGGAACACCUGCGGCGAAGGCGGGUUGCUGGGCUGAUACUGACGCUGAGGCGCGAAAGCCAGGGGAGCGAACGGG
rnacentral:rRNA from 1 species